GUCUAUAUACGUAUAGCAUAUCAAUAAGCGGAGGAAAAGAAACUAACAAGGAUUCCCUUAGUAACGGCGAGUGAAGCGGGAAGAGCUCAAAUUUGAAAUCUUCAAGGUUCUACCUUGACGAAUUGUAGUUUAAAGAAGUGUUUUCUGUUAGAGGAGUUUAGUAAAAGUUCCUUGGAAUAGGGACAUCAUAGAGGGUGAGAAUCCCGUAUUUGACCAUUAUUUUCUAGCUGUGUGAUACACUUUCAAAGAGUCGGAUUGUUUGGGAAUGCAGUCCAAAAUGGGUGGUAAAUUUCAUCUAAAGCUAAAUAUUGGCGAGAGACCGAUAGCGAACAAGUACCGUGAGGGAAAGAUGAAAAGAACUUUGAAAAGAGAGUUAAACAGUACGUGAAAUUGUCAAAAGGGAAGCGUUUGACACCAGUGUUGUCUUUCCGAAAAUCAAUUAAGAGCGGCUUGAUUUUGUGUUGUAUUGACCUUAUCAGCUUUCUUCACUCUUUUUCGAGUCUUUCUUAAUGCACUUUUCGGUUAACAAGUCAACAUCAAUUUCUUUUGUUGUAAAAGGGUAUUUGGAAGGUGGCUUUCUUUUCGGAGAAAGUGUUUAUAGCCUUAUACCUCUACAAUCGGAGAGAUUGAGGUCUGCAGCGUAGAUCCUUCGGGGCUAGAUACACUUGUGCUAAGUUAUAGCUUUUCAUAGACAACUUGUUGACUAUGUUUAGUCAUGUAGCUUACCCGCUUGUGCUAUUUUACCUACGCUUAGGAUGUUGAGUCAUCACACAUCUCU
rnacentral:rRNA from 1 species